AGCUCCGUGGAAUAGACUGGUAUGUUUUGUAUAGGGUACACCAUAGACUGGUAUGUUGUGUAUAGGGUACACCAUAGACUGGUAUGGAGCGCUCCGUGGACUGGACUGGUAUGGAGCGCUCCGUGGACUGGACUGGUAUGGAGCGCUCCGUGGACUGGACUGGUAUGGAGCGCUCCGUGGACUGGAC
rnacentral:lncRNA from 13 species